AGCAAUCCGCUGUAGUUUCGCGUUUUACGCCAAAAGCAAGUACGAAUUCUACUUUUGGCGUAUUACGUGAUAUUAUCAACGUUGUGUAUAUUCAUAUAUUGUAUAUGUCAGUGUAUUCUCUCUUCACUUCAUCAAAUCGUUCAAGUUAAUUAAAUCGUUCUUAGGUACAAUCAUGGUCUGUUUAUAUCAUCACAAAUUCAGGAAAUGAUAAAUACAUUAAAUUCUCAACUGAAGUGGGGAUAUUGUGAAUGGCUAUUGAAUAUUGUUUGUUAAAAUUUAUGGAAAGCACACCGGUGCUUUCCGAGUUAUGAUGAAGAGAGAAAAUCUAAUUAAUGUUGAUCAAAACUUAAUUGUUACUAUCGAUACAAAAUUUUUUUUAUAAUGCUUGUUAAAAUGUAUCUUGAGUAAAGUAAUAUUAAAAAGUCUAAGAACCGUCAAAUAAUAUUCAGAGCUUGCAGCAUUCACAACAGCAAUCACAAUCAUUAACCCAGUCUAAUACAUCAGCGCAGUCUAAUGAUAUUGAUGAACAUCUAAUAAUGGCUAUCAUGGAAAGGCUAUCAUUAUUUGAUCAUAGAAUUGAUGUGCUGGAGCAAUCAAAAUUGAAAAAACAAAACAUUAUGAAAAGAAAUUAGAAAUAUCCUUGGAUAUAUUAUAAAUCCUUUUUAAUAAAUUUUCCAAUACUGUUAUCAGUAGAAGCUAUGGCUUUAGUAACAACUUUCCCAGUCAUAUUUCACAAGAAUGUCUUCAUAAUAAGAUUAAACUUUGUAUGCCUAUUCUACAGGUAUUAUGUCAAUUGAAGAACUGCAAAAAAGUGGAAAUAUCAUCGUAACUGCUAUGUGAGAGCUAGAAAAAAGAUGAAAACAUAUGUUCCUAGUGGUCUGGCGCAUUAUCAUUAAAUUUUAAAAAUUCUUAUCGAUAUUUUGAAUUAAUCCUUUGGAUGAUACUCUUCAAACAGAAUCUACAUUAUCAAUAGAAUCACAGCCUUCUGCCUCUGAGGAAAGUACUUCUAGAUAUUUAUCUGCUGGUGAGAGUGUAAUGUUGCCUGAUUUGACCUUUAAAAUAUGCAGCAAAUGUAUCUCUUAUUACACUUGCACCUUGCAAAUGAAAAUUGUUUCUAAUAUUUCCUGAGUCUAUAAGGCCUGUAGAAACAUCACAAUCAUGUGAGUGCGUUGUAGAAUAAAUUCGUUCUGCAACUGAUUUUUGCAGUUCACAUUUCAUUAUAAAAUUGUGUAAACAAUAUGUUAUUUGUAUAAUUUUUUUGCAAGUAGAAGUAAAUGUUAUAAUUAGUUUUCUAAAGAUUCUCCACCUCUGCUAAUAUUCCAAAGGCAUUUUCUAUAACAUGUCUUGCUCGACUAAGUCUGUAGUUGAAGAUUUUUCUCGUUUCAUUGAGUUGUUGACUUCGGAAAAAUGGUUGCAUCAUGUAUGUUUUUAAAGGAAAAGCUUCAUCUGCCACAACGUCACGUAUGGUAAAACAGGUCCAUUAUUUCUAAUAACAUCUGGUGGUGUUAUUCUUAUUAAAUUUUCUUCCAAUGCUUUAUACAAGUUGCUGUUUCUAAACUCCACCAUCGCUCUGACGUCCUUCAGCUCCGAUGUUUAAGAAAGUAAAGUAAUAUUUUGUAUCAAACAGCAAAUUUAAACAGCAAAUUUGAAUUAUGAUUAUAAUAUGUUGAGCCACUGUGUGGAGGUGCCUGUAACAAGAAAAAUCAAAUAUUUUCUAAAAUAUGAAAUUAUUCUUAAAUAAAAUUUUGAAAAA